rnacentral:rRNA from 1 species
GGAGUUAGCCGGUGCUUCUUCUGUGAGUGAUGUCCUUCCUGCCGGCUAUUAACCCGCAGGCCUUCUUCCUCACUGAAAGUGCUUUACAACCCGAAGGCCUUCUUCACACACGCGGCAUGGCUGGAUCAGGGUUGCCCCCAUUGUCCAAUAUUCCCCACUGCUGCCUCCCGUAGGAGUCUGGGCCGUGUCUCAGUCCCAGUGUGGCUGAUCAUCCUCUCAGACCAGCUACGGAUCGUCGCCUUGGUGAGCCGUUACCUCACCAACCAGCUAAUCCGACAUAGGCUCAUCCGAUAGCGCGAGGCCCGAAGGUCCCCCGCUUUCCCCCGUAGGGCGUAUGCGGUAUUAGCCUGGGUUUCCCCAGGUUAUCCCCCACUACCGGGCAGAUUCCUAUGCAUUACUCACCCGUCCGCCGCUCGCCACCAGGGAGCAAGCUCCCCGUGCUGCCGCUCGACUUGCAUGUGUUAGGCCUGCCGCCAGCGUUCAAUCUGAGCCANAGCACCAACGUCCUGACGUCGGGACGUCGGGGCCAGGGCCGAACGGACG